rnacentral:rRNA from 1 species
UACGUAGGGUGCGAGCGUUGUCCGGAAUUAUUGGGCGUAAAGAGCUCGUAGGCGGCUUGUCGCGUCGGAUGUGAAAGCCCGGGGCUUAACCCCGGGUCUGCAUUCGAUACGGGCAGGCGUAGAGUUCGGUAGGGGAGAUCGGAAUUCCUGGUGUAGCGGUGAAAUGACGCAGAUAUCAGGAGGAACACCGGUGGCGAAGGCGGAUCUCUGGGCCGAUACUGACGCUGAGGAGCGAAAGCAUGGGGAGCGAACAGG